CUUAAAAACAUAACAUAUAUCAUCACAUAGACCAUUCCAACUAGUUCAAAACAUCAUGCAUCAAAUACCAUAUAAAUUUAGCACCAAAAUGCCCCAAAUAUCAGUCCUUACAUCAUACUUGAGGUCCACAAUUUCCAAGUAUAAUAGGCAUGCAAACAACUAAAAAUCAUAGCAAAACCAACAUAACAACUACCACAUUGCCUUUUAUUCCCCCCCCCCCAAAAAAAAAAAACCAAAUAACACCUACUAAUAGCAACUAAAGUAUUUGGCUUGGAUCACCCCUAAAGACCAC
rnacentral:lncRNA from 1 species